CAGGUUGGUUGGGCAAUCGCGGUUCUGCGUUGACGGAAUCGAGGAAAGUCCGCACUCCUAUAGAGCACGGCGUCGGAUAGCGUCCGGGGCGGGUUCAACCUGCCGGAUAAGGGCCACAGAAACAAACAGCACCUUCGGGUGUGAUGGUGAAACGGUGGUGUAAGAGACCACCAGCGCGCACAGCAAUGUGUGUGGCUAGGUAACCCCCGUCGGGAGCAAGGCCAAGCAGGAGCGAUUUCGUCUGUGGACGAUGGGAGACUGCUCGUUUCCAUACGUACCAUUUCCAAGCGUGGGAAUGGUCAGCUCCGGGUAGGCUGCAUUGAGCGAUGUGGCGACACGUCGCCCAGAGAGAUGGUUGCACAGAUGGCGCGAGUCAUUGGACAGAAUGCGGCUUAUAGACCAGCCUGAGGU
rnacentral:RNase_P_RNA from 1 species